rnacentral:misc_RNA from 1 species
GAAAAGAACUUUGAAAAGAGAGUUAAACAGUACGUGAAAUUGUUGAAAGGGAAACGAUUGAAGCCAGUCGUACCGACGGAAAAUCAACUUCUCGGGUGCUUAUCAUGGGUGACGUUGAGCCUCACGGUCUUCGUUGCUUGUGUUAUUGGUACCUUUGUUGUGCACUUUUUCGUAUGGUAGGUCAACAUCGAUUUUGAUCGUCAUAAAAUGAUCGGAGGAAUGUAGCUUUGAUUUCGAUCGAAGUGUUAUAGCCUUUGGUAAAUGUGACGAUUGGGAUCGAGGAUUGCAACGAAUACCCUU